CGCGGAGCAGUCAUGGCUAGCGAUUGUGGUCGUAAAGUCGAAUGGCCGUAAGUUGCAUAGGUCAUAAGUUGAUCAAUACCUGUAUAUUCUUAUGAAAAUAUAAUAUUAUAAUCUUAUGAAACCACCAUGUGAUCCAUCAUGGACCAAAUGUUGUUAUGCGGUACAUGACUGUACUGUAAACCCUAAAGCUUUAGUGUCCUUUACUGUGAGAAGUAAGAGACCUUAUUAUCUCCUCCCGCUCCUCUCAGGAAUAUUUACCCCAUUUUUUUUUUCUUUUUUAAUACCUUGCUGCAGCAAAACUCUGCAUUUACCAGAACUUUUCCGUGAACUUACUAACACAUGACGUAAAUGCAUUAACGCUCUUUCCUUCAUUAAUGUAACAUUUCUGUUUUACUUUUGGUGUGUCCUCCACAUGUUUUGAUUUAUUUAUCGCAUAAACAUUUAAAGGAGUCCCUCUUUGUGCUUCAGGAAAGUGCCAAGUGCUGGAACUGAGAGAUGGGAAAAGGCAUCAGUUUAUCUUUCCUGGAUUUUAACUCCGGAGCAGAAACAGUACAUUAUUUAAUAUAAAGAGCAGUGCUAAAUGCGCACUUUUCCCACAAAUGCUGAUUGGAGAUGCAGAUAAUAAUGGUGAUAGAUAAAAUACAGAUAAUAAUGGCUUCAAAUAUUGGUGGCAAGGUAACACAGCUCUUUUGUGUAGUACCGAUCACCAGCAGGAGCUUGGAGUAUUUUCAGAAAGGUCCAAAUGGGAGUGUGAGAGGAAGCCUGGAUAGGCUUUGGGAAGAAAUGAUUCACAGUUAUAAAAAGGAUUUGGCUUAUAAACUUUCCUCUCCAUAAAUACAAGGAAAUUAGCAAUGGGCAGAAAGAGUAAGUAGGCCGAUUUCUUUCACUGAGAAAAAGCAGAACAUACAAUCCCAUUAUUACUCUGCUGGUUAAUUAUUAAUCCUAUGCUUUUCUCUUGCUAGAACUUCUGGUAUGGUAUAUAAUUCAUGAACACACUUUGCCAGCUCUCAGCCUGCUGGUUAAUCUCUCUUUGGUGUCAUUUUAGUCGUGUUUGAAAACCUCCAGUUCCCUUUCAUAGGACUUAGCUUUUCAAGUUCUCAAAUCUACAUUUUUAGGCAUCUACUUGCAUGUUCUUAUCUUUCGAAACUUUUGUGAUCAUCAAUUUGGUUUUUUAGGUUCCAAGAUAUUUCUUUUAGCCCAUUACAAUGUACAUAAUAUCAACAAGUCUGUCAAGAUUCUAAAAUUCCCAUUUUACUAGGAAGAUACAAUAGAAAACAUAUUCGAUGUGUAUGUGAAAGCUGGUCUUCUUGCAAAUGAGUGCUAAAAAUGUGCCUCCAGAUAGUAGCUGGUAAGUGCUUGCAAAGAUGCCGCAUCACAGCAUAUGCAGAAUCUACAAAAUACAGGGCCAUAACCACCUUCCUAAGGCACCUGGUACUGGGGACUUAUUGCUGGAAAUUUUUUUUACUCUAGUUGUUCUUAAACAGUUAAAAUGUGUUUAUUGUGUUUGGUGAAGUUAUUUUGAACGUGUGAAUUAUCAUAGUCCCAGUAAGUGGAACCUUAUCCUGUUGCCAUUUUUCGACCAUUAUUUCCCCCUUCACCCUAAAAAAGCUUCAGCUUUGAACUUCAUGUUAUCAGAUUAUAUCAUCUACUAUUUCUCUUUUGUGCUGUCAUCUGCCAAUCUAUAGGACGUUUUCCUCUUUCUCAAAGUUAUCAGUUCCUCUCUCAUUGUCACACUCUCUGGUACUAUUCCUGCCUUAAUGCUUGGCAAUUUUGCUAUACAUAUAGAUCAUCCUUCCAACCAUCCAUCCUUUCAAUCUUGGUUGUCCAGUUCUUGACCUCCAAUGUCCUUGAUCUCCAAUCUACCUUAGCUUCCACUCCACUCACACACAAGGUCAUGGCCUAUGCCUUGUACCUCAGACAAGCAGUUGGUCAAUACUAUGUGACCAGGCAAUGAUCAGCUUGCCACCUAUUUUAAUAAAGUUUUAUUGGAACACAGUCACACUCAUUAAUUAUAUGUUGUCUACGGCUGCUUUCAUACCACAAUGACAUAGUUGAGUAAUUGUAACAGAGACUGGCCUGCAAAGCCAUGCCCUGGGACAAUAACUGCACCCACUCCAUAAUCACAAUUUUGUGCACCCUUCUCAGACUAGAGCCUUCUGUCUCAGAAGGCUAUAAGAAAUGCUAUAAGCUCUACAUGGCAGACAUUUUUGUCUUAUUUUUAUUAACUGAUGCGUCCAAAGCCUCGAGAGCAGUAGUAGUCACAUUGUAGAUACCCACACAGUAUUUUUUUGAGUAAGCAAACAUAGAGUAUGAGACAACUGAGGUGUACACUGCUACAAUGAAAACAUAAUUUGAAAAGUUUUCUACUGCUCUUUUUUCUCUAGCUUAUCUCCAAAGUAUAACAUGUCUGAAUAGGAUAGACUAUGUCCACUAUCAUUUGUGGAGUGAUUGAGUGAUUCUUUGUGUUUCCUUGCUUAAUGCCAUCAAUGUAGGACAUUGUCAAGUGUUUGAACAAUAUAUUUUUAUCGUACUAUAUAAAAAUAGCCAUAGAUUUCAUUUGUUUGUUUCUUCAAUCAAAAUAUGUUGAUUGAUCACCUAUUUUGCACAUGUACUUUGCAGGAAGGAAAAACAUACACUGACGUCAGGAGUGUAUAUUCUCACAGUGUGAGUCAGGCAAUACAAAUAUAAAUAAAGUAAUUUCAGAUUCUGACAAGUACCAUUAAAAAAAAAUUCAGAGUAAUGAAAUAGAAAGUGAUGGAAUGCUCAAGGAAACCCCUCCAAAGAGAUGACCUUUGAGAAGGCACAAAAAUGAGAAGAAGUCACUCAUUUGAAAACAGAGGAAAGGGAAUUCUUAAUAAAGAGAAAAGCAAGUGCAAAGGCCUUGCAGUAGAAAGAAGUCUAGCAUCUUAGAAACACACACACUUCUGGAGAUGUGGUCAAGGGGCAGAAUGUAACCAAAUGUAGGUGGAACAACACCCAGAGACCAAAUCAUGUGGAGCCUUAUUCACCACGGUGAGGAAUUUCUCUCUAAAAUCCUACUGUGGAAUUUCAAGCCGGGGAACGAAAGGACUUAUAUUUUGAGAAGAACAGAGAAUGGACUCAUAGGGCAGGGAGGAAGCAGGGAGAAAGGUUCAGAGGCUCUGGUGGAAUCAGAGCUAGAGAUGAUGGUGUUGUAGGCCAGAAGGAGAACAAAGGGGAUAGUGAGCUGUGGCCAGAUUUAAGUUCUAUUUCAGAGUAAAAGCUAGGACUUGCUGUUGGAUUAGAGGGGAGAGGUAAGAGGAAAGAGACGGAUGUAGGAUGACUCUGGUGGGAGACAGCUCUGCUUACACUGCCAGGUCUCCUGGCUGUUCAGGUUUCUUAUGGCAAAAAGAGCUGGGAGCAGGACACCUGUGCUUCUGUUCUGCGUCUGGCACUAUCAAUUCAUGUGAAAGAUGAUAUUAUUAGGUUGGUACAAAAGUAAUUGCGGUUUUUGCGGUUACUUUUAGUAAUGAUAACAGCAAAACAUUAUAACUGCUAAUUAUUGAAUGCUGUCUAUAUUCUAGGCACUGCGGUUUUUGCUUUACAUAAAAUCUUCCAGUUAGUCAUUUGAACAACUCCCUGUUUUAUAGAUGAUGAGAAAAGCCCAGAAAUGAGGAAUACUUUUCCCAAGGUCACAGAGUUAGUCAGUGGCAGAACUGGGUUUGAAUUCAAGUCUGUCUGACUUUAAGACCAUAAAGCCUAACCUCUAUGCUGUACUGGCUCCCAGAAGGGUAAUACUUGAUUUUAUAGUUCAAAAUACCCUUUAAUAUUUUAUGUCAUUUGAUUUUGAAGGAGUCGUCUCUCAUUCCUGUUGAUUCUUACCCUAUCAGUGCUCUGAUAUAAGGAAGAAUAAAAUUAUUUCUAUUUUGAAUACCAGAAAAGUGAGGCUUGGAGGUUAUAUGAGUUCCCAAGUUUAGGUAGGUAGUAAUGGAAAGGCUAGAAAUCAAACCAAAUUCUUUCAGUCCCUGGCCCAUGACCCUGAUGGCAGAUGAGUCAGUUGACUUAGCUAGGACUUCAGUUAGACCUGAUCUCCUGAUGAGUAUAUCAAGGAGGGGUGGUUUAAGUGAAGUAUAGUACAUGAUCUGCCUUUUUAACAGUUGUUGGUUUCAUGUACCUCUCUGGCUUUUGUAUGUCGAAUCAUUAUUGCUAAGCUGGCUAGGAAUUUCCUCCCCAUAUUCACUCAUUACCUUUCCUCAUUAUUUACUCUGUACCAGCCCAGAAAAUUUUGGCUGACUACUUCCAACACAUUUUUGGGAAUAGCAUCAGAGGAAAUCACAAAUAUUUGUGUAGUAGCAUUGCUUUACACUUCUUUUGUCUUCCUUGCAAUGUUAAACAGUGAGGUCCCCAGUAGAAAGUCUCAUAAAGUAAUUUAUGUAUGUAAAAUAUAUGAAAAGAAAUGAUUUAAAAUUAUAAAAAAAGAAGUCUGAGACACACACACAUAUAUAUAUAACUAUACUCAAACUUAAUUUUAUUUUCACUUUUUAGUGAAUUGCUUUGGUAUCAUAAGUAUGUAUGUGUUUAAAUACAUAUUUAUUAACUAUUUAUCUUUAAAAAGUUUGGAAACAACUUUGGAGAUAAUAGGUUCAUUGAAGAUUUUAGACACAAAUGGAAUGGUUAGAAUUGUUAUUUAGGAUGACUACUCUAAAAUCCAUGUGCCAGUUGAUAGAAUGGGAGAGAGACUGGAGACAGGAAGAUAGUUAGAAGUUAUAAUUAUAUUAUCUGUAAAGUAUAAUGGGGGGUUGAGUUACAAUCACGACUCUUACUACCGGAAAAUUUAAGGAAGUUAGAAACAUAAGAUGUAAUCAAUUACACUGAUAAGUAUAUGUACACACACAUUACUGUAUUGCAAGAAGUCACUGAAAUAUUGUGAUAAAUUAUAAAAUGGCUAGUUUAAUUAAUAUAAGCAAUCUAGAUAAUUCAGAAACCCUUGACAUUUAAUAAACUUAUUUUGAACUUGUCUUAUGAAACAUUAGUGAUCACAUUUAAUCUACUGUAAUUUAAUUUAAAGACAUUGAGUUAUCUGGAAAAUUGGCUUAAAUUUUCAUUUCAUUUGCAUGUUUAUAUACUCUCAAAGAACAUUAAAUGUCAUUUUUGGAGGGGUAUGUGUGUGAGUUUAUGAGUGAGAGUGGAGGGAGGUGAGAGGAGGAAAGAGAGAAGAGUUUUCAUCUUAAUGUUCUGGAGUUGUCUCCUGGAUUUUAACAGAGGUUUUCCUCCUUUGGUAUGUCUGACAGAAUGGUUAUUGCCUUUAACCAGGUUAAAAAUAUUUUGCUCCAUCUACAUCCAGGCGGAAUUGAUAAUUGUUCUGUAUGUGGUAGAGGACUGAGGAGAAAUGAAAUGUUUUGUAAAAAUGAAAGAAAUAAAUUUGUUUGAAGUAUUGUGGGAACUCUCUAGGGUGUGAAUAGAUCACCUGCCAUUUUAAUUGUUCUGGUUGAGGUGAUGUGUUCUGUGUAAAGGUUCAGUAUGUUGUAACAUUAGUUGAAAAAGUGUUUACUUACAGGCUGGGUUUACCAAUGUUUCUGCCACUCCAAGUAAAACAUACUGAAGAAUCAGGUAGAAACAGGGCAUGGAGGAAACAGUGAGAACUUUUCCUGAAAGGGGCUGCUCCACUGGAGGGAAGUGUUUUCUGUGUAUUUCAAAGAAGCCAGCUAUCAUCACAGACAAUGCAGCAAAAAGAUUUCCAGCAACUAAAGGAAAUAAUGCAGAAGAAAAAAAAAUUAAAGGAAGAGCUAGAGAUUUAUGUAACAGGUCCUAACAUUUCUUAUGCAUUGACAUUCGAUGUUUCCUCAUCAUUUGUUUUCCCUCAGAAUAUCUAGACGCCAGUUAACUCUCCUGUCUGACCAUACAGUGCUUAGGCUCUGGUCUCAGAAAGGGCUGAGUUGACUUCCUACUCCCUGACUUCCUGUAUGUAUGACCCCAGGCCUGUAAUGUAAAAUCAUUAUCACUUUCCCCAGCUCUAAGGUGGGGUUAAUGAUGUUUACUUUGUAAGGUGCUUGUGAUCAUUUAAAUAAGACAAUUGAUAUCUGCUGGGGAUUGAUUCCAAGAUCCCAAAGAAACCAAAAUUCUUGCUGCUCAAGUCCCUUAAAUGAAAAGGCUUAGUAUUUAUUUGCACAUAACCUACGCUCCUCCUCCUCUAUUCUUUAAAUCAUAUCUAGGUUACUUAUAAUCCCUAAUACAAUGCAAAUGGUAUGUAAAUAGUUGUUAUACCAUAUUGUUU